rnacentral:rRNA from 1 species
GACAGAGGGUGCAAACGUUGUUCGGAAUUACUGGGCGUAAAGCGAGUGUAGGCGGUCUGCUAAGUCGGGUGUGAAAGCCCUGGGCUCAACCCAGGAAGUGCACUCGAAACUGGCAGGCUAGAGUACUGGAGAGGUUGGUGGAAUUCUCGGUGUAGAGGUGAAAUUCGUAGAUAUCGAGAGGAACACCGGUGGCGAAGGCGGCAUCCUGGACCGGCAUUGACGCUGAGGAGCGAAAGCCAGGGGAGCAAACGGG